GAAUGGAGAGAGUUUAUGCAUUGCAGAUAUAACUAGUUAAGUUGAUAAAAACUUUUUUAAGAAUUUGGGCAGAACAAGGAUAAUGGCCAAGAUAAUAAAAACACAACAUGAGACGGAUGAAACAAGAUUUUGUAGUAUGUGAUGAAUAAAAAGUCAAGUAGUGUUUGAAAUAUAUGUGCCUAGUUCCCACACAUCAUUUUUCUGUUAUUUGAUACAAUCAGAAGCCCCAUGA
rnacentral:lncRNA from 1 species